UGUAAGCGUAUACCAAAGUUGUUGCAGUUAAAACGCUCGUAGUCGGAAUUUGGCAGUUCCGGAUGUGUGCACGUCGUGUGCGCACUUCGCGGGGAUUGCUUUUGUGGUCUUGCGUAGGAUGAGGCACUCUUAUUAGUGAACGUCCUCACGCAACCACUUUUUACUGUGAGAAAAUCAGAGUGCUCAAAGCAGGCAUUUGCCGUGAAUGUAUUAGCAUGGAAUAAUAGAAUAGGACUUGGUUCUAUUUUGUUGGUUUGUUGGGACUGAGUAAUGAUUAAGAGGGACAGUUGGGGGCAUUUGUAUUUCGGUGCUAGAGGUGAAAUUCUUAGAUUACCGAAAGACAAACUGCUGCGAAAGCGUCUGCCAAGGAUGUUUUCAUUGA
rnacentral:rRNA from 1 species